rnacentral:rRNA from 1 species
AUACGUAGGUGACAAGCGUUAUCCGGAUUUACUGGGUGUAAAGGGCGUGUAGGCGGUUUAGCAAGUCAGAAGUGAAAUUCCCGGGCUUAACUUGGGCGCUGCUUCUGAAACUGCUUUACUUGAGUGCUGGAGAGGAUAGUGGAAUUCCUAGUGUAGCGGUAAAAUGCGCAGAUAUUAGGAGGAACACCGGUGGCGAAGGCGGCUAUCUGGACAGUAACGGACGCUGAGGCGCGAAAGCACGGGGAGCAAACAGGAUUAGAUACCCUGGCAGUCCGUGCCGUAAACGAUGAAUACUAGGUGUAGGGGGUAUCGACUCCCUCUGUGCCGCAGUUAACACAUUAAGUAUUCCACCUGGGGAGUACGGCCGCAAGGUUGAAACUUAAAGGAAUUGACGGGG